rnacentral:rRNA from 1 species
AUUGAACGCUGGCGGCAUGCUUUACACAUGCAAGUCGAACGGUAACAGGCCGCAAGGUGCUGACGAAUGGCGAACGGGUGAGUAAUGCAUCGGAACGUGCCCAGUCGUGGGGGAUAACUACUCGAAAGAGUAGCUAAUACCGCAUACGAUCUAUGGAUGAAAGCGGGGGACCGUAAGGCCUCGCGCGAUUGGAGCGGCCGAUGUCAGAUUAGGUAGUUGGUGGGGUAAAGGCUCACCAAGCCAACGAUCUGUAGCUGGUCUGAGAGGACGACCAGCCACACUGGGACUGAGACACGGCCCAGACUCCUACGGGAGGCAGCAGUGGGGAAUUUUGGACAAUGGGCGCAAGCCUGAUCCAGCAAUGCCGCGUGCAGGAAGAAGGCCUUCGGGUUGUAAACUGCUUUUGUACGGAACGAAACGGCUCUGGUUAAUACCCGGGGCUAAUGACGGUACCGUAAGAAUAAGCACCGGCUAACUACGUG